ensembl:lncRNA
GUUUUCUCACUCCAGAGUUGCUGGUGGGGGGGGAAAAAAGAAAAAAAAGGUGCUUGUGAUGUUUAUUGUUUCUUCUGUGGAACAGAAAAUAACACCACCCUGCUGCCUUGCAGUGUUCAUCGCGCUGUACAGUGACGCACUUCCCACAGGGGAACAUGAACCCUUGCAUAUAUAUUCAGAUGAAUGUGGAGAUAGAGUUAGCAACGGAACCAAAUGCAGAACGUUAAAAAUGAUCCGGAAAAGGUUUCAAAUUCUUCAUUUCUGCGACAAGAACUACGACCAGACGGGAAAAUGGCACCAGGUGAAUGAAUUGUAGUGACACUUAACUGUCAUGGAGAAGAAAGGUAAAAAUUUUAGUCAUUAUUUUUAGAACUUCAAGGUCACCGUAUGUGAGUUGCUGUUAGAUGUUGCAGCAUGGAGAAUUAGAUAAUUGUACCAAAACUAGAUAUACAUUAGUUAAUUUUACAUGAUUUUUUCCAUUAAGGUUUCCAUUCUCAUUGCUAGAAUUGAAAUUUAAGAAUAUAUUUUUUCUAUUAAUUUCCUUUCUUAAGACUAUCAUGCAAAUAGUUUACACUGAGCUGUGAUAAUUUAUUUUCAUUUUUUCUUGCUCUGCCUUUUUUUUGAAUGACAAAAAACAUAACCAAAGUAGAAAAUAGUGCAGAGGUAAUCCAUUCUUGUGUCACAAAUCAUAAAAAGAAAAAAGUAAGGCACCAAUUUAUAGUUUUGACAUGCCUAAAUUACUCAUAGGAGUUAAUACUUAUUUUUCCCUGUCAAAUUCUUGUUUGAAUCUCACAGUGGUUUAUAAGUAAUUUAUGUACAAAACAGUGUAGUGGGCAUACAAGGCGGUAUUUAAUUAUUCCAGUCAGAGAAAUUUUAAAGCUGCAAAUUUUAGGCCUUCAAAAGUGCCACAUGUUAUGAUCUGGAUGCAGGGUACAGGAAACAUUUUAAAGAUGCUGAUUUUAUAAGUACAGGUUUUCCAACACAAAAAUGUUGCAGGAUACACGGUGUGAAAAAAAAAUGCUCUUAAAUUUACAGGACUCAACACACACAGAGGUGUGGGAGAUCUUUUGCUAUGUACCAAUCAGAAACAGGAAAUUUAUCAAGCCACUGCUGUAGCUUGAAUUAAAGUGGCAUAGAAUAUGCAUUUUAAACAG